AUUUAUGGCUACACCACCCUAAAUGCACCUGAUCUUGUCUGAUGUCAGAAGCUAAGCAGGGUCGGGCCUGGUUAGUACCUGAAUGGCUGACAAUGUGUAAGUCCGCAGCAGUUGGAAUAA
rfam:Gorilla gorilla gorilla genomic chromosome, chr6, whole genome shotgun sequence